GUGAGCGGUGGCUUGGCAUGGUGUGCGGUUGCUAUACCUGCAGAGACGUAUCUGUCCCUCCUCCUCUCAAUCCUUCGAACAUUUACAAAAUCCCUGGCGGACAAGAAUAAAGGACAAAGAAUAUUCACAUGCAGAAAACGGGACAGAUAAAGUAGUAAAGAGGGAAAAAGAGAGACUCACCUUGGUGACACCACACCGCCUGCUGCCGCAGCAGACACAUCAUACGAUACCAAAGUGUUAUCGUCCACCCGCUGCAGGAUCUAAGCAUAUCUGACCUGGCAAUUUGCCACCGUCCUGUUCCACAAGACCAUCUUUUCGGGUUGAAGAAUUACUUCCUGGUAAACCGUCUCGGCCGGGCACUGCAUGAGAGCCUGUGGGUAGGCACAGCCAGGUUAACACAGAAGGAUCGCCGAUAAUUAUACGAGUACUCAGUAUGUAAUAUGUGUACUUGGAUAAGUUAAUAAAGUUUUGAAAUAAAAUAAAAAAAAUUG